rnacentral:pre_miRNA from 1 species
AGGGUUGGGGCUGAGUGCAAUGUUGUGAUUUUUCCCACGAAUAUUGCACUCGUCCUGGCCUCC